UACGUAGGGUGCAAGCGUUGUCCGGAAUUAUUGGGCGUAAAGAGCUCGUAGGCGGUUUGUUGCGUCGGCUGUGAAAUCCCGAGGCUCAACCUCGGGUCUGCAGUCGAUACGAGCAAACUAGAGUGUUGCAGGGGAGACUGGAAUUCCUGGUGUAGCGGUGAAAUGCGCAGAUAUCAGGAGGAACACCGGUGGCGAAGGCGGGGUCUCUGGGCAACAACUGACGCUGGAGGAGCGAAAGGCGUGGGGAGCGAACCGG
rnacentral:rRNA from 1 species